GACGAACGCUGGCGGCGGGCUUAACACAUGCCAGUCGAACGGAAAGGCCCUGCUUUUGUGGUGUUCUCGAGUGGCGAACGGGUGCGUAUCACGUGAGUAACCUGCCCUUGACUUUGGGAUAACUUCAGGAAACUGGGGCUAAUACCGUAUAGCAUCUCCUGCUGCAUUGUGGGGGUUGGAAAGUUUCGGCGGUUGGGGAUGGACUCGCGGCUUAUCAGCUUGUUGGUGGGGUAGUGGCUUACCAAGCCUUUGACGGGUAGCCGGCCUGAGAGGGUGACCGGACAGAUUGGGACUGAGAGACAGGCAAGAGUGCUGAGGGAGGCAGCAGUGGGGAAUAUUGCACAAAGGGCGGAAGCCUGAUGCAGCAACGCCGCGUGGGGGAAGACGGCCUUCGGGUUGUAAACCGCUUACGCCUGUGACGAAGCGUGAGUGACGGUAAAGGGUAAAGAAAAACAGGCUAAAUACGUG
rnacentral:rRNA from 1 species